rnacentral:rRNA from 1 species
GACGAACGCUGGCGGCGUGCUUAACACAUGCAAGUCGAACGAAGAGCGAUGGAAGCUUGCUUCUAUCAAUCUUAGUGGCGAACGGGUGAGUAACGCGUAAUCAACCUGCCCUUCAGAGGGGGACAACAGUUGGAAACGACUGCUAAUACCGCAUACGAUCUAACCUCGGCAUCGAGGAUAGAUGAAAGGUGGCCUCUACAUGUAAGCUAUCACUGAAGGAGGGGAUUGCGUCUGAUUAGCUAGUUGGAGGGGGAACGGCCCACCAAGGCGAGGAUCAGUAGGCGGUCUGAGAGGAUGGACGGCCACAUUGGGACUGAGACCCGGCCCAGACUCCUACGGGGGGCAGCAGUGGGGCAUCUUCCGCAAUGGACGAAAGUCUGACGGAGCAACGCCGCGUGAGUGAUGACGGCCUUCGGGUUGUAAAGCUCUGUUAAUCGGGACGAAAGGCCUUCUUGCGAAUAGUGAGAAGGAUUGACGGUACCGGAAUAGAAAGCCACGGCUAACUACGUG